rnacentral:rRNA from 1 species
UACGAAGGGGGCUAGCGUUGCUCGGAAUCACUGGGCGUAAAGCGCACGUAGGCGGCUUUCUAAGUCAGGGGUGAAAUCCUGGAGCUCAACUCCAGAACUGCCUUUGAUACUGGAAAGCUUGAGUUCGGGAGAGGUGAGUGGAACUGCGAGUGUAGAGGUGAAAUUCGUAGAUAUUCGGAGGAACACCAGUGGCGAAGGCGGCUCACUGGCUCGGUACUGACGCUGAGGUGCGAAAGCGUGGGGAGCAAACAGGG